GGGUUGUGCAUUGGUUUUUGACUCUGUUAAUAUGGGUUGUAUAUUGAUUUUUGACUCUACCAAUGGAGGUUAUAUGUUGGCACUAUGAUUGAGCUCAUCAUUUCUAUUCUGACCUUGCCACAAGAAUAAGUAUGGUCGUAGUUAAGGUUAUUUAGUUAUAUAUGUUUUAUUUCAAAUCAAAUUGAUAAUUAUGUAUAUAUGUAUAUAUGAAUAUUUGAAAGAUUUGAUU
rnacentral:lncRNA from 1 species